GUUAUAAAAUUUUAUAUACUGGAUACUUAUACUUUUCCUAAUCUUAGGACUUCCUUUGUCGUCUUUUACCACCUCAGUUAAGGCUUUGCUUGUUGACAUAAAGUAUUAUUGAAACUAGAGAAAGUACUAUAGACGAGUUUUUCUGUUUUAUUAACUUCGAAAUUUUUAACGUGAUAAACAUUGCUAAGAUGCGCAAAGUUUCACUUUAGAUGGAACGCUAGACAUCCAGGUGCGUUUAUAAGACGAGAAUCAUAACUA